AAACGGAUCCUUAAUGGUUCUUGUGUAUACUUUAUUCAUGAGACCAAAUUUGAGAAGACAAAGUGACGAAUCUGUGAAACAAAGGGCUUUGAUGAGUACAUGAAUUUGGUUUUGGAGGAUGCCGAUGAACUAAACAUCAAGAAAAAUACAAGAAAACCUUUAGGGAGAAUUCUCUUGAAAGGAGACAACAUAACCUUGAUGAUGAACACGGGAAAAUGAUCUCCGAAGCUGAUUCUAGACAUAAUAUUUUUCUGUGAGAAUUGUGAUCGUAUGAACCUCUGUUAUGAACCUGAACUUUUUGGUAUAUACUGCUAGACCAUUAGGAGGUAGGAAAUGGCUUAAAGGUGUCUUUUCUUCUCUUUAUCUUUGCUCAUGCUCAACAAAGCUGCCAUCUGCUGGUAUUGUAUUGUAUUUUAUCUUUUUGUUUAUUACAAUCCAUCUUUUUUACAUUAGUGAUAUUUUGCAUUCUAUAGUCUA